rnacentral:rRNA from 1 species
GGAGUUUGGACCGUGUCUCAGUUCCAAUGUGGGGGACCUUCCUCUCAGAACCCCUACCGAUCAUCGCCUUGGUGGGCCGUUACCCCGCCAACAAGCUAAUCGGACGCAUCCCCAUCCCGUGCCGAUGAAUCUUUGACGUAUAUCCCAUGCGGGACAUACGCACCAUCCGGUAUUAAUCCCGCUUUCGCGGGGCUGUCCCGGAGCACGGGGCAGGUUGGAUACUCGUUACUCACCCAUUCGCCGGUCGCCACCCAGAUGCAUUGCUGCGCCUCGUGCUGCCCCCCGACUUGCAUGUGUUAAGCCUGUAGCUAGCGUUCAUC